CACGGAGCCACCCAGGUGCCCCCUAUUUCUGCAUUCUUUUGGAACUGGGGAGAGCUUGUCUGUGUGGUAUUUCCCACAGACCCAUCGGUGGUGUCCUAAAAUACAGGAUUCAGGCAUGCCGGCCUGCAGUCACACCCCGGUGAUGUGGGACGUCUGGUCCCUAGGCGGAGAGCGUUUCUGUGGUUUAAACCACCCACCCUGUGGCCAGUGAGUUAUGGCGCCCCAGGAAACUUAACACAGCUAUCAAAGGACUUACAAGCAAGUUUGCGAUCUACUUCCGCCUACGAUUCCUUACAGGUAAAUCGACAAGGUCCCCAACAGGUCUAAUAACUCAGUUUCAACUUGGAGACAAGCACAAACGAAAUAUUGAGAUUUCUGCUGCAAUGGUCAUGCACAAUGAAAAUAUUGGUGAUUCCUCUUGGAGAAGAAGUCACACGUACCCCUGAGGCGGGGCUUGCAGCCUGCAUCCACAUGCAAAGGGGACACCGACAUUUACUCACGGCAAACACCGCAGGAGGCACCAUUUUCCCCAUUCAAGUUUACAACACCCCGAACUUCCACAUUCUGCUUUAGAUAGUUCCCAGGACCAGGGCUGGGCUGUGUCUCCUGUUCAGGAGGCUCUGGUCCCACGGGGUUGGGGGGGGGCGCUGCUCAGGCGCUCUGCAGCUCUAACCUUGGGCAAGUGCACAGGCUGUCUCCCCUCCCUCCCCUCAGCAUCUACUUUGUGGGCUGUUGGGAACGUUACUGGGAACAAGUAUACGGAGGGUUCAGCUAAGUACCGGGCUGAGCCACCACGGAGGGAGGGGACGGUACCAGAGGGGCUUAGCCAACACUUGUUAGGCUGGAUUUUUUUUUCUCUCUCUGGUCUCUGACUUAGGGCAGCACGUCCCAGGGAGGAGAGGGGGGAAGAUUGCUUUUGAUGAGCAAAUGUCUGCUCUGCCAGAGAGUGCACAGAGACGGGGGGGGGGGGGGGGGGGGGGGCAG